rnacentral:rRNA from 1 species
ACGACUCUCGGCAACGGAUAUCUCGGCUCUCGCAUCGAUGAAGAACGCAGCGAAAUGCGAUACUUGGUGUGAAUUGCAGAAUCCCGUGAACCAUCGAGUUUUUGAACGCAAGUUGCGCCUAAAGCCUCUGGCCGAAGGCACGUCUGCCUGGGUGUCACACAACAU